UACGUAGGGGGCAAGCGUUGUCCGGAAUCAUUGGGCGUAAAGCGCGUGUAGGCGGUUCAGUAAGUCUGCUGUGAAAGUCCAGGGCUCAACCCUGGGAUGCCGGUGGAUACUGCUGGGCUAGAGUACGGAAGAGGCGAGUGGAAUUCCCGGUGUAGUGGUGAAAUGCGUAGAUAUCUGGAGGAACACCGGUGGCGAAGGCGGCAUCCUGGACCGGUAUUGACGCUGAGGCGCGAAAGCUAGGGGAGCAAACGGG
rnacentral:rRNA from 1 species